UUCGGCUCCUAUCGAAGCCCUUUGUGCCCUAUAUGGCAGUUAAGGGUCAACAGGAAGCCAAAAGCAACACUUUCACCGACGGUCGCUGUUCAGUUUCAAAGUAACUGUUUCAGCAACAUUAAGGGGAAGGAUAGUU
rnacentral:snoRNA from 1 species